rnacentral:tRNA from 1 species
AUUUAUUUAAUAUAUAAGUAUAUUUAACUUCCAAUUAAAAAGUCUGGUAAACAGAAUAAAUA